ensembl:lncRNA
AAACAAACAAGAGUGAGUCUGAUAUUAUCACAUGAGACUGAAAAUGUUUCAGGACUAAUGGAGUUUUGUACAUUCCCUCAUGACACUGUUCCUGACAGUCCAGCAAAAAAAGACAGCAGAGUAAAGGCUGCCUUCAUUCCAUGACAGAAUCUCCCUCCAGAAGAUGAUGAUGUGGCCUCCCCAAUAGAGCUCCCUCCAGAAGACAAUGACCUGGCUUUCACAGCCAUGUUCUCUCCAGAAGCCAACGAGGUGGCCUCUCCAGCAGAGUCCCCUCCCGUGGCCAAUAAGGUGGCCACCAUAGCCGCAAUCCCUCCAGAAGCCAACAAGGCAGCCUCCACUGCCAAGCUCCCUCCAGAGGCCGAUUAGGUGGCCUCCCCAACAUAGCUCCCUCCAGAGGCUGACAAGGUGGCCUCCACAGCCGAGCUCCCUCCAGUGGCCUCCCCAGCAGAGCUCUGCUUUUGCCUUAGGCCAACAGCACAGCCUCCCACAUCACACCAUACCUCCACCACCUGACCCUAGCGAGUUCACCAUUGCUCCCCCACCAGACUCUCCUUUCUGUUUCAUGUUGUUAUCUUCCACUUCUCAUUCUGUUCCCUAGUUUGUGUAUAUUGGAUUAUCCCUGCCAUUGCUGUUCACUAAUCGCCUGACCUCUGCCUAUGUACUGAUUCCAAAUUUUGACUCACGUUUUAGAUUUGUCUGCCUGCCAUUCGAAUGAAAUGCCUAAAUGCACUUGCAUCUGUCUCAGCCUUCAUUCCAUAAUACCACCACUAUAUUUCACUGUUAACUGCAGUAUGGCCUGCAUUAUGUUUGCAAUACACAUAGUGCUUUGAAACUUGCCCAAAAACAGUAUCAUGAUCUUGGUCUCAUCACACUGAAAAAACACAACUUCACUGAGUUCAUUCUUGUGCUUUCAUAUGGCUCUUCGUGACAACAGUUUCUUUCUAGCCACCCUCCCAUAUAGUCCUCAAUCAUGCAGAGCUCUUGUAAUGGUUGUCUGGAGAUCUUCACUACACUCUGUACUCUGUUAUUUUUCUGAGGGAUUGUUGACCUCAAUGUGGUUUCCCUCACCAGUCUCUUUCUUGUAUCUGCACUGAAUUUUUGAGGGAUGGCCUUGUCUAGGUAGUGCUUGGGUGGUGUGAUUCAGCUUACACCUCCUCACUAUUAAUCUAGCAAUGCUAACUCGGAUGUCCAACCUCUUAGAUAUAAUUUACACCCUAUUUCUAAGUUAUGAAAUUCUAUUACCUUAAAAUGUUCCUUAGUCUUCAUUUUCACUAUUUUUCUUCAGACCGACAUUCUCGUCAAUGACAGUAUAACUGAGGUGUUUUUCCUUUUUUUUUCUUUCUUUUUUUAUAAAAAAGGACCUAUUUUAAUAUUUCACAGGUAAAUGUCAAUUAUAAGGCAAGUGUGUCCACAUUAAGACAAUAUCUUUCAACUGGAGCUUCCAGAACCUGGGGGUUUGAAUAAAUAUGCAAGCAGC